rnacentral:rRNA from 1 species
UAGGGAAUCUUCGGCAAUGGGGGGAACCCUGACCGAGCAACGCCGCGUGAGUGAAGAAGGUUUUCGGAUCGUAAAGCUCUGUUGUUAAGGAAGAACGAGUGUGAGAAUGGAAAGUUCAUACUGUGACGGUACUUAACCAGAAAGGGACGGCUAACUACGUGCCAGCAGCCGCGGUAAUACGUAGGUCCCGAGCGUUGUCCGGAUUUAUUGGGCGUAAAGCGAGCGCAGGCGGUUAGAUAAGUCUGAAGUUAAAGGCAGUGGCUCAACCAUUGUAGGCUUUGGAAACUGUGUAACUUGAGUGCAGAAGGGGAGAGUGGAAUUCCAUGUGUAGCGGUGAAAUGCGUAGAUAUAUGGGAGAACACCGGUGGCGAAAGCGGCUCUCUGGUCUGUAACUGACGCUGAGGCUCGAAAGCGUGGGGAGCGAACAGG